GAUGAACGCUAGCGGCAGGCCUAACACAUGCAAGUCGAGGGAGAGGUUACCUUCGGGUAACCAAAACCGGCGCACGGGUGCGUAACGCGUAUACAAUCUGCCUUUCACAUAGGGAUAGCCCGAAGAAAUUUGGAUUAAUACCUAAUGGUAUAUAAGAGCGGCAUCGUUUUUAUAUUAAAGCUACGGCGGUGAAAGAUGAGUAUGCGUUCUAUUAGCUAGUUGGAGAGGUAACGGCUCCCCAAGGCGACGAUAGAUAGGGGUUCUGAGAGGGAUGUCCCCCACACUGGUACUGAGAUACGGACCAGACUCCUACGGGAGGCAGCAGUGAGGAAUAUUGGACAAUGGUCGGAAGACUGAUCCAGCCAUGCCGCGUGCAGGAUGAAGGUCCUAUGGAUUGUAAACUGCUUUUGUAAGGGAAGAAUAAGGAGUACGUGUACUUUGAUGACGGUACCUUACGAAUAAGCAUCGGCUAACUCCGUGCCAGCAGCCGCGGUAAUACGGAGGAUGCGAGCGUUAUCCGGAAUCAUUGGGUUUAAAGGGUCCGUAGGCGGGCUGAUAAGUCAGAGGUGAAAGCGCUUAGCUCAACUAAGCAACUGCCUUUGAAACUGUCAGUCUUGAAUGAUUGUGAAGUAGUUGGAAUGUGUAGUGUAGCGGUGAAAUGCUUAGAUAUUACACAGAACACCGAUAGCGAAGGCAUAUUACUAACAAUUUAUUGACGCUGAUGGACGAAAGCGUGGGGAGCGAACAGG
rnacentral:rRNA from 1 species